rnacentral:rRNA from 1 species
GAUGAACGCUGGCGGCGUGCUUAACACAUGCAAGUCGAACGGAAAGGCUCCUGCUUGCAGGGGUACUCGAGUGGCGGACGGGUGAGUAACACGUGGGUGAUCUGCCCUGCACUUCGGGAUAAGCCUGGGAAACUGGGUCUAAUACCGGAUAGGACGAUGGUUUGGAUGCCAUUGUGGAAAGUUUUUCGGUGUGGGAUGAGCUCGCGGCCUAUCAGCUUGUUGGUGGGGUAAUGGCCUACCAAGGCGUCGACGGGUAGCCGGCCUGAGAGGGUGUACGGCCACAUUGGGACUGAGAUACGGCCCAGACUCCUACGGGAGGCAGCAGUGGGGAAUAUUGCACAAUGGGCGCAAGCCUGAUGCAGCGACGCCGCGUGGGGGAUGACGGCCUUCGGGUUGUAAACCCCUUUCGCUAGGGACGAAGCGCAAGUGACGGUACCUGGAGAAGAAGCACCGGCUAACUACGUG